GGAAAACAGAGCUUCGUUCCUGAGGGAGGAAAACAUGAGCUCUUGGAUGGCAGGAAAGAGUUCCUAGAGAGAGAAGACAAAGAGCCGUUUGUGCUGCAAAAGAAACCCCAGGCUGAAGACUGGAGAUCUGAAUGUGCAACCUGCAAGGGAACUGGAGACAAUGAAACUCCUGUCAGGUCAAGUUGACAAGGGGUCUCAGUGUAGAGGCCAUCAAAGUAAUUUUGGUCAAAACACUUGGUGGCAAGAUGAUGAAGUUUUCUGUUGAAACAAUAAAGUGACUAAAUCCGUUAGCAUGUUGUGCCUGGCGUUCAUCGGUGUCCUCAGCAACAUGCCUGGAUAUCCGUCUCAGGAUUUGGCUUCACCCCAGAAAGCUUCUGAGAAGCUGUCUUCACCCAAUCUGCCCCCAGGGGAGGCCAGAUGUAGUUGUUGCCUCCUCUAC